rnacentral:rRNA from 1 species
AUUGAACGCUGGCGGCAUGCUUUACACAUGCAAGUCGAACGGUAACAGGCCGCAAGGUGCUGACGAGUGGCGAACGGGUGAGUAAUGCAUCGGAACGUGCCCAGUCGUGGGGGAUAACUACUCGAAAGAGUAGCUAAUACCGCAUACGAUCUAUGAAUGAAAGCGGGGGACCGUAAGGCCUCGCGCGAUUGGAGCGGCCGAUGUCAGCUUAGGUAGUUGGUGGGGUAAAGGCUCACCAAGCCAACGAUCUGUAGCUGGUCUGAGAGGACGACCAGCCACACUGGAACUGAGACACGGCCCAGACUCCUACGGGAGGCAGCAGUGGGGAAUGUUGGACAAUGGGCGCAAGCCUGAUCCAGCAAUGCCGCGUGCAGGAAGAAGGCCUUCGGGUUGUAAACUGCUUUUGUACGGAACGAAACGGCUCUGGUUAAUACCCGGGGCUAAUGACGGUACCGGAAGAAUAAGCACCGGCUAACUACGUG